CGCGUAGGCGGUUUGGUCAGUCAGAUGUGAAAGCCCCGGGCUCAACCUGGGAACUGCAUUUGAUACUGCUAAGCUAGAGUAUGGUAGAGGCAAGUGGAAUUCCAGGUGUAGCGGUGAAAUGCGUAGAUAUCUGGAGGAACAUCAGUGGCGAAGGCGACUUGCUGGACCAAUACUGACGCUGAGGUGCGAAAGCGUGGGUAGCAAACAGGAUUAGAUACCCUGGUAGUCC
rnacentral:rRNA from 1 species